CACUCGAUGUAUUUAACUUCCUCUGGGUGACCUCAAGCUGUGCUGAACAUGCCCAGAGCAUCAGCUGUGGCGCCAGGACUGCAGGGGACAGGUGCUGAGCUCCGACCUGCAGUCUUCAAAUGGUUUGCCUCCGAGUGUUUCUCACCUUCUCUGCCUCGCCCAGGAUCAUCGGUGCUGUAUGCCUUAUACGCCCAUCUGCAUUGCCAAAGCCGUGAAGAACUCCGCCGAGUCAGCAGGCAUGAGGCGGGCUCAUGUGAGUGCAGGGCGCAUGGGACAGAGGCAGUCGGAAGGAGCCAGCUCUUUCCUCCUCUCUGGGGCCUGGGCCCAAGUCCUCUGGUCUUCCAGAGUCAGUGGGACAAUGAGAUAGCCAUUAUGUUGAGCAUAUAGGCCUGAAAUCCUAGCUACUUGCGAGUCUGAGGCAGGAGGAUUGUGAAUUUCAGUAUCAGGUAUGUAGUGGGACCUGUUUCAAAAAAGAAAAA
rnacentral:lncRNA from 1 species